GUGCACUGAGCACAUUUCUGCUGCAGCCCCGUGGCAUCUGUCAGAGCACCGAUACCUAGCACUGAAGGGUCGCAUCCUGUGUGCCAGGCACUGUGCUAGAGGCCUUACCACCAUCAUCUCACUUGGUCCUCACGACAGCGCUGAAGUGAUGAGGAAACCGAGGCACAGAGAGCUAAGUGACUUGUGACUUGCCCACCAUCCUAGAGCUGCCUUUCUGUAGGUUUACUUCCCUGUGUCGAUGGGAGGGCUCUGAAGACUACGAGGGAGAGACGUUGAGUGAAGCCAUGUGAAUGAAGACGGUGGAUUUUGAAGAAAGGGCAGCCAAAAGGUCGACCUUUCUCAGGACUUUCUACCCUACCCAGCAAUGGUACAUGCCCCCUGCCCACACCCGGUGGAGUCACUUCUCUCAGCUCCGUGUCUGUGAGACAGCUGUGGCAGGGGAUGUUCUUGGAACUGGAAGACCUGCGUGUGGGGCGUGGUGCCAUCCCUGCCUGGCUGUGUGGUAUGAAAGGAACGGCCCUCCACUAACCAGCUGUGCACACUCGGUCAUUCUGCUUUCCCUCUCUGGGCUUUAAUUCCUGUAUCCGCAGAACGAGGGAGCUGAGCUGGCUGACGGCCAAUGCCGUAUCUAGCUCUCCCGGGCGAUUGUGCUGGAGGAGGCAAAAGUCACCCAUCGGAGAACCAACUUCAAGUCAUUUUGUUGGUGGCCACGUGGAGCAGCUUCCGGAGAGUAAUUCUGAGUUCAAAUUCAGGCUCAGAGGAAAGGGGUGCCUCGAUCUCUUUGUGAGUCUGCCACAGGCCCUGGAAGGGAAAUGGUGACAGUGAUAUCAGGUGUUUGACA